rnacentral:rRNA from 1 species
GACGAACGCUGGCGGCGUGCUUAACACAUGCAAGUCGAACGGAAAGGGCCUGCUUGCCGGGUACUCGAGAGGCGCACACGUGAGUAUCACGUGUAUGUUCUCUGCUUCACUUCGGGGUAAGCCUGUGGAACUGGAUCUAUAACCGGGCAGGACCCCAUUUUUUGGUGAAUAACGGUUAGAAUUUUCGGUGUAGUAUGAUCCCGGGGCCUAUCAGCUUGUUUGGGGGGUAAUGGCCUACCAAGGCGGCGACGGGUAGCCGGCCUGAGGGGGUGGACGGCGACAUUGGGACUGCGAGACGGCGCAGACUCCUACGGGAGGCAGCAGAGGGGAAUAUUGCACAAUGGGCGCAAGCCUGAUGCAGAGACGCCGCGAGGGGGAUGACGGCCUUCGGGUUGUAAACUCGUUUCGCUAGGGACGAAGCUUUUUGUGACGGUACCUAGACAAGAAGCACCGGCUAACUACGUG